AGGAAUUAAAAUUCCUCCGUCUAUAGAAACACUCUCCGUAGUGCUCUAUCUCCCUCUCAGCACACCACCAGCUCUCUCCCUCUCAGCGCACACACGCGUAGCUCUCUCUUCCCCUCUCAGCAACGUCACGAGCUACCACCUCCCUUUCCGUAGCUUUUCUUCCUCUCACUGGUUAAAAUAAGUGACAUUAAUUUCAAUGGAGUCAUCUACUAAAAAAAUGACGAGCAAAAAAAAAAGUUUUAGGAAAAAAUAAUGAGGAAACAAGAAGUUAUUUUACAUGGAAUUUGGAGAUGGAAAGCGUAUUAACUGAUGUACUAAGAGAUCAAAGGAAUUUGGGCAACAAGGGUGACGGAGGUUGGAAAAGGUCAGCAUUGAAUACUGCAGCCGCAGUGUUGUCUACAAGCUUCAAUGUUUAAUGUCAGAUCAGAUAAUGUCAAAAACCGUAUCAAAUUAUGGAGAUCGUGGUAUGGUAUUGUAAGUGACAUCCUUGGCCAGAGUGGGUUUGAUUGGGAUGGCACUAAACACAUGAUCACAGUUGAGAAUGAAAAUGCUUGGAAUGAAUAUUGUAUUUCGUACAAAUCGGCUAAACCGUUUCAAUUCAAGGUGCUUCAAAACUGGGAUGACAUAGUGUGGAUUGGAGAAAAAGAAGGAAUAGCAGCUUCUUUGGAUAAAAUGGUCAACUCUUUUGACAGAAUGCUAGAAAAAAUAGAUGGUAAAGUCGAUGAUGAAGAUAUUCAAGAAGUGUUACGUGAGGCAAAUUUGAUACUAGAUUUUAAUAGACAACAAUGGGCUAAAGCUAUUAAAUGGUUAACUGAUGACCCAAAGCAAUUAGUUAUUGUGAAAUACUUCCAAUUCACGAAAAGACAGAUUAUGUUUUAACACAUCUUGCAAAAUGAAACUUGGUUAUUGUGAACAAAGAAUAGAGAGGAGAAAUUUCAUUCUUACAAAGCAAGAAAAAAAUUGAUUAUUCUAAGAUUGUUUGAUUAUGUUGUUUGUUUUGGACCCUCUAAUUUGCAAAAUAAUUCAUGAAUUAUUGAGUAUUAUAAGUGAAGUGACAUCAAUGUUGAUGAUAUAUAAUUUUAGGUCUUGAUAUGGAUUGAAGUAUUUUCUUCUCUUACAAACAAUGAAAUUAAUAUCAAUGUUUGAAUUUUGUAUGAGAUAAUUAUCCUUAAAUUAUGUAAUUGUUUAA